UGUGUGUGCAAGUGGGUGGAUCUGUAAGUUAGGAAGAUGGGACCACCCAGCACAUGCCCACACACACCUGGACAGAGGUAAUACAGAACCUUCAGCAGCUCAGCUGAGUCAAGAGAACUCACACAGACAAAGCACCAUGUCUUCGGCAAAAGAUGCAGCAAUUGACUGGGAUGCAGACUUUACAUACGACUACGAAACACUGCGUAUGGGAGGACUGAUCUUCGCCGGAGUUGUCGUGUUCCUUUCCUUCGUUCUGUUGCUUG